rnacentral:lncRNA from 10 species
GCUCACCUGGGGAUCCUGAUUGUUAUACCAAGCUGCCUGAUUUUAUAUAUAUCAAAUUACAUUUAAUUAUAUAGAUGCGAUAUGUAAUUUUUCCCAUAAAGUUAUUUAGUCUUACUCAGACUAAAGUUGGAGAUCCAUAAAGCAAAAUGUAUAUGUGCAGGGGGUGUUUUGUGUAAAUUUAGGGGUAUAAGUACAAUUUUGUUAUAUGACUACAUUGCUUAGUAGGGAGGUCUCGUCUUCAUAUAACCAUCACUUGAAUAAUGUACAUUUUACCCUG